rnacentral:rRNA from 1 species
AGAACUCCUAGGUUAAGCAUGCUCGGCUUGGAGUAGUACUAGGAUGGGUGACCGACUGGGAAGUUGAUCUCGGGUGUGC